rnacentral:rRNA from 1 species
GAUUAACGCUGGCGGUAGGCCUAACACAUGCAAGUCGAACGGCAGCACAGGAGAGCUUGCUCUCUGGGUGGCGAGUGGCGGACGGGUGAGGAAUACAUCGGAAUCUACUCUGUCGUGGGGGAUAACGUAGGGAAACUUACGCUAAUACCGCAUACGACCUACGGGUGAAAGCAGGGGACCUUCGGGCCUUGCGCGAUUGAAUGAGCCGAUGUCGGAUUAGCUAGUUGGCGGGGUAAAGGCCCACCAAGGCGACGAUCCGUAGCUGGUCUGAGGGGAUGAUCAGCCACACUGGAACUGAGACACGGUCCAGACUCCUACGGGAGGCAGCAGUGGGGAAUAUUGGACAAUGGGCGCAAGCCUGAUCCAGCCAUACCGCGUGGGUGAAGAAGGCCUUCGGGUUGUAAAGCCCUUUUGUUGGGAAAGAAAUCCAGCUGGCUAAUACCCGGUUGGGAUGACGGUACCCAAAGAAUAAGCACCGGCUAACUUCGUGCCAGCAGCCGCGGUAA